GGAUGAACGCUAGCUACAGGCUUAACACAUGCAAGUCGAGGGGCAUCAUGGAGUUGCUUGCAAACUCUGAUGGCGACCGGCGCACGGGUGAGUAACGCGUAUCCAACCUUCCCUAUAGUAGAGGAUAGCCCGGCGAAAGUCGGAUUAAUACUCUAUGUUUUCCGUUGCAGACAUCUAAGAUGGAACAAAGGCUUGCCGCUAUAGGAUGGGGAUGCGUCUGAUUAGGUAGUCGGCGGGGUAACGGCCCACCGAGCCAUCGAUCAGUAGGGGUUCUGAGAGGAAGGUCCCCCCACAUUGGAACUGAGACACGGUCCAAACUCCUACGGGAGGCAGCAGUGAGGAAUAUUGGUCAAUGGGCGAGAGCCUGAACCAGCCAAGUAGCGUGCAGGACGACGGCCCUAUGGGUUGUAAACUGCUUUUAUGCGGGGAUAAAGUUCACUACGUGUAGUGUUUUGUAGGUACCGCAUGAAUAAGGACCGGCUAAUUCCGUGCCAGCAGCCGC
rnacentral:rRNA from 1 species